CAGCAGCCACGGUAAUACGAAGGGUGCAAGCGUUAAUCGGAAUUACUGGGCGUAAAGCGUGCGUAGGCGGUGAGUUAAGUCUGCUGUGAAAUCCCCGGGCUCAACCUGGGAAUGGCAGUGGAUACUGGCUCGCUAGAGUGUGUCAGAGGAUGGUGGAAUUCCCGGUGUAGCGGUGAAAUGCGUAGAGAUCGGGAGGAACAUCAGUGGCGAAGGCGGCCAUCUGGGACAACACUGACGCUGAGGCACGAAAGCGUGGGGAGCAGACAGGAUUAGAUACCCCCGUAGUCCCUGUCUCUUAUAC
rnacentral:rRNA from 1 species